GACGAACGCUGGCGGCGUGCUUAACACAUGCAAGUCGAACGGAAAGGCCCUGCUUUUGUGGGGUGCUCGAGUGGCGAACGGGUGAGUAACACGUGAGUAACCUGCCCUUGACUUUGGGAUAACUUCAGGAAACUGGGGCUAAUACCGGAUAGGAGCUCCUGCUGCAUGGUGGGGGUUGGAAAGUUUCGGCGGUUGGGGAUGGACUCGCGGCUUAUCAGCUUGUUGGUGGGGUAGUGGCUUACCAAGGCUUUGACGGGUAGCCGGCCUGAGAGGGUGACCGGCCACAUUGGGACUGAGAUACGGCCCAGACUCCUACGGGAGGCAGCAGUGGGGAAUAUUGCACAAUGGGCGGAAGCCUGAUGCAGCAACGCCGCGUGCGGGAUGACGGCCUUAGGGUUGUAACCCGCUUUCGCCUGUGACGAAGCGUGAGUGACGGUAAUGUGUAAAGAAGCACCGGCUAACUACGUG
rnacentral:rRNA from 1 species